UUGCCAAGUUUUUCAGGAAGUGCUAGUGGCCAUUUUGAUGAUGUGAACUAGAUUUUAAAACAGAAAGAGGAAAAAUGAAUGUGGUGGACAAGGGCUGCUGACAAUAUUAGAUAGAAUCAGAGAUGGAGUCUCACUAUGUUGCCCAGUCUGGACUUGAAGUCUUGGCCUCAAGCAAACCCCCUUGCGUCAGCCUCUGAAAGUGCUGGGAUUACAGGCAUGAGCUACCGUGCUUGCCUUCUCCUCCUUCUCCUUCUCCUUCUUCUCCUCCUCCUCCUCCUUCUCCUUCUUCUUCAUUGUUAAUUUUAGGUGCAGCAAUUCCAUCCAGGGGAUAAAAGAUUUAUUUAUUUUAUUUUAUCAUUUUUUAAAAUUUAUUUUUUCGAGAUGGAGUCUCGCUCUGUCUCCCAGGCUGGAGUGCAGUGGUACGAUCUCGGCUCA
rnacentral:lncRNA from 10 species